CUGCAAUCUUCAGAUCUGACGGUUUCCUUCUUCUCGUUGCCAUGGCAACUCGGUAGGACAGCUUCGAGUGGCAGGAAUUCUUACAGACCUAAAGGAGGGGAGAUGGGGCUAGGGCUUGUCCAGAUGGGUUGAGCAGCAAAGCAGACACCUGGAUUGCCCUCACCUGCCUGGCCUUUCCCUGCAGCAGCACCUCAGCUCUGGAAAACAAAGCUCUGUCUCCAUAACUGGUCUCAG